UACGAAGGUGGCAAGCGUUGUUCGGAUUCACUGGGCGUACAGGGAGCGUAGGCGGUUGGGUAAGCCCUUCGUGAAAUCUCCGGGCCUAACCCGGAAAGUGCGAGGGGGACUGCUUGGCUAGAGGAUGGGAGAGGAGCGCGGAAUUCCCGGUGUAGCGGUGAAAUGCGUAGAGAUCGGGAGGAAGGCCGGUGGCGAAGGCGGCGCUCUGGAACAUUUCUGACGCUGAGGCUCGAAAGCGUGGGGAGCAAACAGG
rnacentral:rRNA from 1 species